UAUCUCUGUAGAGUCUGCAUAUCAAUAAGCGGAGGAAAAGAAACUAACAAGGAUUCCCCUAGUAACGGCGAGUGAAGCGGGAAGAGCUCAAAUUUGAAAUCUUAAAGGGUUUCCCUUUACGAAUUGUAGUUUAAAGAAGUGUUUUCUGUUGAGGUUUUGGUAAAAGUUCUUUGGAAUAGGACAUCAUAGAGGGUGAGAAUCCCGUAUUUGACCAUUUACUUUCAGCGUUGUGAUACACUUUCAAAGAGUCGGAUUGUUUGGGAAUGCAGUCCAAAAUGGGUGGUAAAUUUCAUCUAAAGCUAAAUAUUGGCGAGAGACCGAUAGCGAACAAGUACCGUGAGGGAAAGAUGAAAAGAACUUUGAAAAGAGAGUUAAACAGUACGUGAAAUUGUCAAAAGGGAAGCGUUUGACACCAGUGUUGUUUUUCUGAAAAUCAAUUAAAGAACUGUUUAUGCUAAGUUGUUUAGACUUUAUCAGCUAACUGUUUAGUUUUGAGCUUUUCUUUAAUGCACUUUUCAGUUAACAAGUCAACAUCAAUUUCUUUUGCUGUAAAAAAGCUUGAGGAAGGUGGCUUGAGAUUCGUCUUAAGUGUUUAUAGCCUCUUGCCUAUGCAGUCGGAGAGAUUGAGGUCUGCAGCGUAGAUCCUUCGGGGCUAAAUGCAUUUGUGCUAAGUUAUAGCAUUUUAUAGACAACUUGUUGACUAUGAUUUGUCUUGUAGCUUACUCGCUUAUGUUAUUUUACCUACGCUUAGGAUGUUGACGAUCAGCUGAGCGCG
rnacentral:rRNA from 1 species